GAUGAACGCUGGCGGCGUGCCUAAUACAUGCAAGUCGAGCGAACAGACGAGGAGCUUGCUCCUCUGACGUUAGCGGCGGACGGGUGAGUAACACGUGGAUAACCUACCUAUAAGACUGGGAUAACUUCGGGAAACCGGAGCUAAUACCGGAUAAUAUAUUGAACCGCAUGGUUCAAUAGUGAAAGACGGUUUUGCUGUCACUUAUAGAUGGAUCCGCGCCGCAUUAGCUAGUUGGUAAGGUAACGGCUUACCAAGGCAACGAUGCGUAGCCGACCUGAGAGGGUGAUCGGCCACACUGGAACUGAGACACGGUCCAGACUCCUACGGGAGGCAGCAGUAGGGAAUCUUCCGCAUGGGCGAAAGCCUGACGGAGCAACGCCGCGUGAGUGAUGAAGGUCUUCGGAUCGUAAAACUCUGUUAUUAGGGAAGAACAAAUGUGUAAGUAACUAUGCACGUCUUGACGGUACCUAAUCAGAAAGCCACGGCUAACUACGUG
rnacentral:rRNA from 1 species